GCGAGCGUGGUGGAAUUGGUAGACACACAGGACUUAAAAUUCUGAGCCUUUUCAAUGGCGUGGGGGUUCGAGUCCCCCCGCUCGUA
rnacentral:tRNA from 1 species